UGGCUGCAUUUCCGGUUUGAGAGCAAAAUCUAAGUCAAAAUGGUGCGGCUUGUAUCAGUGAAAUUACUGUAAUCAUGCUCCUUUGUAGGAUCACGCUUUUGUAUUAUAGUAAUUAUGGAACCUUGAGGUAAGUUAUGGUGAGACUAUGACAGUCCAUAGAUAUUCAACUGAAGGUAGCACUGAGGAUGGCAACCAUACACAGCAAGAUGGACACACAAUGGGGAAAAAGAUAAAAAGCUCUCCUUCAUCCUUCACUCUCUCAACCCACCACCCUGCAUAACCUGCAAUAGCGUGAAGCAAGACAAGAAAGUCAGCAUUUCGCACCCUCCAACAGCUUUGACAUGACAGGUAUGGUAUUUUCUUACCCACAGAAUUGCCAAGGAAAUCUGCCCUAGCAAAAGUGCAAAAGUUUUCAGUACAAGGAGGUGGGCUGCAAAAACUGGCUUCUAGGCAAAGGUUGAAAUGACUCAAUCUGAAACAAAAUGUAAAGCAAUUGCUGCCUGGGAAAAAAAAAAAAAAGAUCAUGCUGACAUUUAGAGGCUGCAGUGAUACUAUCUGUCCCUUUUCAGGCUGACAUAAACAGCCUUGAUUUCAUCCUUAAAUGAUUUUAUUUUUGUUUGUUUGAUAUUUAGGAUAUCCUUUAUUUUUAGGCAGGGGGCAGCAGGAUGGAUGGAUUGUCUUAACUUCAGCUUUUAUGCCAAGAAAUAAUUGCCACCCCAGAAAGGUAAUUACAUAUGACAUUGUUUAUACACAUAAUAGGCCUGGAAAAGCAUGUUCUACAGAUAGGAAAAAAAAAAGAAAAACCUACUUUCACAUCAGGGUGGAACACUAUGCAAAGUGACAGAUUGCCACAAAUAGCAUUCAAACUCUUGCACAGUACUGGUAGAUUUUUCUUCUGGGGAAGAGGAGGAAGGGAUGAAGGCUAUGGAAUAGGGUGGAAUAGGGUGGAAAAGGGGAAAAAAAAGGAAGACAAUUUUGUUCAAUAGCUAUAGUGACAUACACAGUGGUUUUUACUUUCUUGAUUGCUGCUAAAUGAACCUGAUUUUUAAGUUGUUUAAAAAGUCACUGCCUCAAAGGGACAGUGUUGCCAUCUUGUACAAAUAUCACUUCUCCUAAAGUGGCCUAAAUUUGAAUUGCUCUGAAAGCAGACCAGAUAAUCUGCUAGAAUAUGUUGUGGCAUGAUGCAUCUCCCCUUUGUGCCCUUAGUGCCACAUAGAAAGUGAAUUUAGCUCAGAAAAGGACAACUAGUCUCUUUCCCCCCCUCCCAUCGUAAUCCAAUGAAAGAAUAAAACAAACAUUGUACUGCAGUGUCAAACCCAUUUUGGAUCUUUUUUUAAAUGCAAAAUAUGUAUUUCUUCAAGAUAUUGAAAGUUUCAGCGCUGAACAAAGGAAAGAAAUGCAUAUGUAUUUUGAUAUUGUUAUAUUCCGAAGCAAUUCAUAACACGGCUAUUCUCUAUGGCAGUGUCCAGCAAAUUGCAUGAGCUGCUUGUUAGGCUUGACAACAGUGUUUUACCUAACAAAGGCCUCAACAGCUCAGAGCAGCAGAGGAAUGUCAAAAUUAGCACAUUUGACACACAAAUGUGUGACCAUUAUAAUUUAUAAGAAGAUGCAUGGGGUGGAGGGAAGAGGCAGGAUGCUGGGAAGGCUAACAGUUAGCAGUAGGUACAUGGUGCUACUGACCACAUUUAAUCAACCCUUCUGUAAACAAUUCAACAUUUUCAUUGUUCUCUAAAAACUAAUCAAGAGAAACAAACACUUUUUAUUCAUCUUGAAGUAAUUUUCCGUCAGGUUUGAGUCCCUUGUGACUUACAGCUUGUGCAUUGCUAGCUGUGUGAUACAACAACUAUUUCAAUUUAUUUUACAAACUCUGGCCAUUCACAUGUCAGUUAGUGUUCACCAAGUCGGCAUCUGAAAUUGUGCAGUUAACGAGUUUUACAACAUUUCUAUCAAGAGAAACUGUUUAGCAUAACUGACUCUCAAGGAGUUAUUAUACCUCUAAAAAUCCAUUUUAAGGGGCAUUAUUUAAAUAAAAUAGAAAAACGGUUCACUGCCUUUUAAAGGGGCUACAAAAAAAGUCCAUCAGAUCCAGUGCAGUAAUCCUCAGCUUAAAGUACUCUUGGGAGCACUUCUGGGAAUUAUCAGCAUAAUGAAAUGUUUUGUAAAAUGUCCAGAUAGAUUUCUCUACUCAACAACUUUACUGCAGUAUAUUUAUUUUCCUUCUAGUCUUUAAAGAAGUGAACACUUUUUUGAGGUGAUGAUUCUACAUUGUGUAGAUUAACUGAAUUCAUUUUUUCAUUCUGAAGUUUUUUCCCUUUUGGGGAAACAUCUAUGUCAAACAACAAAAAAAGAGAAAAAAAUAAGUAAAGUGUUAGGUAGGACAGCUUUAUUUGUGACAAAUGAAAAGUCUGUAACUGAUUUUUUUGUGACCAAAAACUCGAUGAUUGCUCCACUGAUUUUUCAUUUCUUCAUACAGGUUCAAUUUUUUGCCCAGGAGUUAUUUAAUUUUUCUCUUUUCUAAAAGCACUUGUUUAUCCCCUGCAAAUAACAAGCACAUGUAAUUUACAGAAGACAGUAAUAAGUCUUGGAGAUGCACAGGCUUGAAAGGGUCUAAGCUGAGGUGCAGACAAGCUCUGAUUAUUCCUUCCUGCCAGCUUGUUGCGGGGGGGUAAAGUCCCUACCAAUGAGCUGUGGGUGGGAAGCACCUGGUACAGUAGUCACUGCAUUGAGAACUAGCUUGGCUAUCCUUCAGCCCACACUGAUGUCUACUGAAGUCUGGACAUCUCAAAUAUCUAAAAUAUGAGAGAAUAUUAUUAUUUUAAUCUUGUACCUAUAUGAGUAGCCAAUCUUUUAGUCCAUAUUACUCUGCAUUACUGGGCUAGCUGUUUUCUGUCCUAUUCCCAGAAAAACACUUCCAUUAUAAGGAGGUGUGGUCAGUCAGGGAGCAUGGUCAGUAGAAAGCUGCAUAAGUGCGCUCUACCUCUCUAGGGAAACUGUUGUCUUUGUUAAGCCUUCUUCCCUUCAGAGAAGACUUGUGAAUGUUUUGUAACACCAUGACUGAAUUAAAAGAAUAGUGUUAAUGACAAGAGAAAUUACUGAGACACCAUAAUUCAGGUUUGGGUAGACAAGUCUUCAAAUUAUAAUUUAAAAACUUUAAAUAUCAUAGAGAAAUAACCCAAAAUCCGAACCCAUGCAACAUCAAAGCUGAUACUGCAUAGUGAAGGAGACACUUAUAUUCACAGCUUCAGUUCCUAAAUUGGUGACAAUCUAAAUGCCGAAUUCUCUCACAUUGAGUAGAGCUGUGUACCAGGAUAAUGAGAUGCAAGUCCACAUCAGUCUGGUAGCAUGACUAAUAAUAUCAAUAAGAUUUGUUUUAAAUACUUCUGACCUUUGAUAGGAAGAAGUAAAACAUGAUGAAGAAAAAGUGGAUUGCAUAAGAAAUAAAUAAAAUGGUUUAAAAACUUUUUUUUUAGUCUUUUAUAUAAUGUCAGGUGACUUAGGCUGGAUUUCCUUCACCUUUUGGGACAUGGUGACACAGUUAUUCGCCAUGAGUUCAAAAUUUGAUUCACCGACUUUUAACACAGGCUCUUCAGCCUGUGAAGUUGAGUCUGGUGGAUAUAAUCAUCUCGAUAAGAGCUGGACAUACAGCCUAGCUCUAUUACUCCCACAGAAGCCCCUGGAAGUUGCUUGGAUAUGCUGGAACAUGGAAAAGAUCAGCACCUCAGUUGACACAAAAUGUGCAGAUAUACUCAUUGAAAGAAACAUUAAGGAAACGUCUCUGAGAUGCAAAGGAGUGUUUGUGCAGAUUUGUUCUUAACACCCUCACCAUACUUCAAGCCACAUGGCACUUUACCCUACACUUUGCACACUACCAUGCAGCUGAGAACUGGCAAAUGCAAUCUUCCUUCACCAAGGCAUCUGCUGGGAAAUUCUCCUACCUGCUGAAACAUAGGUAUUUUUCGCUAAGUCAAUAAAAGAGGGAAAUUUAUCAAUGACUCUCCUCUUUUGUACAAAAAUGUAAUUGAAAAUGUCACCGUGGAUAUGCUGCUCAGUAGCUUUGCUUAGGAUUGUAAAAGUGGUCCUGAAAACUGCUUUGCCUGUUGAUGGUAGAAAGAAAAAAGAGUUUGCUAACAGCAUUGUUGCACUUGUUCAUCUUUUGCUUUUACGAAAGUGAUGCUAUAAACACAGAAAAGAUUGUGAUCUGAUAGCUGUCAUUGCUCUAGUAUAACAUUAGCUGUCUGGAAAUGAGCUAAUUAAAUUUUUUGGUGUGUCUUGUAUAGAAUACAUUUGCAUUUGACAUAAUUAGUGGUAGGCAGAUCCAGCUAUAUCCAGGGGGAUUCUCAAGACAACUGCUUUGCUGACUAUUAGUGCCUAAUUUCUGAAUGUCAAAUCCCGCACAUCUUAAUUUCUAGAGAAUUAGCUCAAUUGAACUUGCUCCCCAGUUAUGCAAAAACUGUUCAGAUAAAACCAAGUGGACACGAAUAUAAUGAAUGUGGUUAUUAAAUUGUUUCAAUUGAAAGAACCCUAUUCUUAUACCAUCAUAAUGGGAACAAUUUAUCCCCACUGAUCAGCCUGUCUCUUUUUUCUGAGCUCUCUUUGAUCUUGAAGCACAUUGCAGUGGUAUGUCCUAUUGAAAAGCAAAACUGGGGCAAUUUUAAAGCUUUUGUACCUUACCAGUGCUCUAUUUUUUCAUGGUUUAAAAAUAGCUGUUAAUUAUAAGUGCAGUUUAAAUGUCUCAGUGACCCAGAAAUGCAGUUGGAAUGAGACAGAUUCUGUGUCUCUUAUAAAACAGAUGUACUUUCACAGAGCAUCCUGAAUUCAGCCCUGAAGAUCUAACCUUCUCUAAGGUUAUUUCAGUCAGGUAUUGAGCUUGUCUAGCUUUUAGAUAUAAAAUCCCACGCAUUUUUAACAAUGAAGACAAAACUUAAUCUAUAUUUACCUCAAGAAUAAAAAAACCUCUUUUUCUGUGGGGGUUUGUUUUCCUGCUGGUGGUUGAUGGGAUGAUUUCCCUUAGACUCCAGAGACUCAGUAGACAAUAUACCUCAUUUAAUCUCCACCUCUUCUGCCCCUUAAUGUAAUAAGCCUCAUGCUCUUGAAGAACAUUAAGUGCUAAUAAAUUUCAGGAAAUCAUAUUAUUUUGACUGGAUUAAUCACUGCACCAGCCAUAUCUUGCAGAUAUAAAAUUUCAAGCUUCAGUGUUUUGAGUGGCUCAAAGUACUUUUUUAUCUUCUCUUCGGCCAACAAUUGCUUUUAAUUCCUGUCUGUGAUGGGGUUCUUCAAGAGAAGUCUGAAAAGUAGGGUGCAAAUAAAUUAAAACAAUGAUUUACAGGAGGGCCUGAACAAAUCGGUUAUUUAUAUGUCUCUUUAUUUCUAUGUUGUUAGACAGCAGUUUACAGAUGUUUCAAUUAAUCAACAAGGCUUGGUUUCAAUUUUCUGAUUAGAAUAGGCUGUCUAGUGCAUUGAGUUUGCUGAGCUCUCCCAUUUCCCUGAAGAUCAGUGGUACACAUUUCAAAGCCACCAGGACUUCAUGAAACCGAAUGGGUUAAUGGUGAAGGGAGCCAAGGAUCAACCAAACUUGGAUUAUACAUUGAUAUCUCAGUCAUUAGGAGAGACUGACAUCCAGAUAAGGGCUGGACUGCAGGAAUAAUUAGUCUAUGAGUGUGGCAGAGCCUACCUGAUCUGGACAUGAGCAGCAAACCUGAUCCAAAGCUUUUUCUCACUUUUUGGUUAUUAAGUGUUAUAUAAAUAUUUUUCUUCAUAUCAACUAAGAAUAAGGUGGAAAAAAGACAAAGAAAAAGGAGGUAAUAAUCCCUCAGGACAUCAAAUCUUUUUGACUAAUAAAAACGUUUUCUUGAA